ensembl:lncRNA
CAUGAGCUUAGCAUGCUAAAAUGCAUUAAACGUUAAGAAAGGAUUAAGAGAAGGCCUCAGGUCAGAACCAAGUUUGUGCUUGUUCAUUUGUUCUCUCUCUCUCUUGCUUUCCUGUUACAGAGCUGAAUGAGAAAGGCUGACCAUGAGGCCCAGGAUGCUUUGUUGCAGAUGACAAAGGCGAAAGGGACCUGAACUCUCCGGCUGAGUAGGAACACAGCAGAUUUUCCACAAGAUUCUUUGAAAGUCGCCUUCGUCUGGGCUGAACCCUCACAUCUGGCAGUGGCUCACUUCUGCUGACUCCAAGACCCACAUCCAGGACAUGAAUAUUCAUCGCGUUACUCAUGCUGCGUUCCUUUGCCUCUGAUGUGUUUAGCUCCGAGUACCAGGGAGACACUCCAGAGCAGCUGUGAGGCUUUUGCCAGCUCUUACUCCUCGGGCUAAGCAGGAAAUCAUUUUCCUGUCCCAUGAAACUUUCCAGUGUGAGGCUUUUUUUUCUUCUUCUUUUUUUCUCUAUUCCACUUUAGGACAAAAUCUUAAUCUUGAUUCCCAAAUCAAGAUUGACAAAUUUUCUGUGACUCUGGCCACAGAUCUAAACUGCUUUUUUUUUUUUUUUAAUUUAAUUUUAUUUUUUCCACACAGAAAGAGUGGACUGGUACCAAGUUAUCUUUUAUUUCAAUAAAUAUUAUUUCAGCCUGUUUGUCUCCUCCCUUCAUACCCUGCUUGAAAUUCCAGCUUCAAUCUGAGAACCCAUUUUCCCAAUCAAGGCUUCAAUGAAACUGUUCUAUUUUCAUUUUUUUUAACAACAUUUUUUAUCUAUUUUAUCUAUUUAUCUGUCUAUUUAUAGGUACACACAGAGACAAGUUUCUGACUAGAUUUUCUUUCCAUUUUUUUUUUGAGGUUUGUUUUUUGUCUUUGUUUUUGUUUUUGUUUUUGUUUUUUUGAGUUUUUAAGAAUGCAUGAGGAAACGGGGAUGUUCUACUAACCUAGCAAGCACUUUGAUGAACUUUUACUACACAAGGAGGACAAAACAAGCCCACUUGUUGGUAGGAAAACUUCCUUUGUCUGUUGGAACAUUUCCCAGGGUUACUUUCAUCAUUUCUCAAGAAGAAUCCAGCUGUAAAUACAGUGAUUGAUAAGAUUUCUGCAGGCUCCUUGUAAGAUAAGUUGUUGCACUCAGAAAGCUGCUGUUCCCACAGUUGUCUGUUGGAAAUAAUAAGCAGGGAAAGGAUGGCAGCAGUUGGUUCCUCUUUGGUAACUGAUAUAAACAUGGGAUCCACCAUCAAAUACCUACAUGGCUGUGAGCAAGGCUGGGGGGAACCUGCCCAGUGCUUGAGCGCCUCUCAGCAGCAUGACCCCAGCCUGCCUGGCACAGCCCCACACAGCCCAAAGCAGUGGCUGCCAGAGACUCAGCUCAGCGCUUGGCAGGUUGUGAAUGCUCCAAUACAUAAGCAGCAGCAGCUUGGAAACAAUAAUUGAUGGCUAUUAUUAACUAUUACUACUAGGCACACAGACUAGAGGGAAGUCAACAUGUUUCCAUAAGAGGAAGGGACAAAUUUCUCGAAGAUUUUCUCUAAUUUUCUCUUAGUCACCAUCAGGUUACUGUUUACUAUUAAAAGAGAUUACUUAAAGAGGUGUCUUCUAUACAAGAAUCACUGUUUGGAAGAAUAAAUUAAUGUAGAUUUAUCUUCCACCAGAAAAGAUGUUUCCCAUUAAACAACCCAUAAACCUUCAUCUAGAUGUUUGGCUUAGUCAAAUAUUUUGUAUGGCACUAAGAUAUUUGACAUUAAGACAUUUGUGUAUAACCUGUGUAUAUUUUAAUAUCUCAUUAAAAUUCCAUUUGGAGAACAUACGGCAUUUAAAAAUUCAUUUGUUAUCUUGAUUGAUGGUAUUUUAGUUGAGCACUGGUUGAGUUAACACCAAAAUAUAAUCUUAGACCUAAGGAAGCAGGCUGUGUAGACCGAACUUUUUGUAGCUUCCCACAAACUCCCUCAGUAUUUCAGUACUUCUUGGCAGCUGUUUUUGUGAAA